GGAGAGAUACCCGAAGUGGUCUAACGGGGAUCGGAUCUCCAGGUUCGAUCGGGUGUAUGCCCGCGUAGGUUCGAAUCCUGCUCUCUCCG
rnacentral:tRNA from 1 species